AAAGGAAUUGACGGGGACCCGCACAAGCAGCGGAGCGUGUGGUUUAAUUCGUUGCUACACGAAGAACCUUACCUGGGUUUGACAUAUAAGUUGUAGGGAACUGAAAAGGGACCGACCCUUCGGGGAGCUUAUACAGGUGUUGCAUGGCUGUCGUCAGCUCGUGUCGUGAGAUGUUCGGUUAAGUCCGCUAACGAGCGCAACCCUCGCCGUAUGUUAUACGUGUCAUACGGGACUGCCGGUAAAAAGCCGGAGGAAGGCGGGGAUGACGUCAAGUCAGCAUGACCCUUAUAUCCAGGGCUACACACACGCUACAAUGGUCUGUACAAUUGGUUGCCAAGCCGCGAGGCGGAGCCAAUCCAUAAAGCAGGCCUCAGUUCAGAUUGCAGUCUGCAACUCGACUGCAUGAAGCCGGAGUUGCUAGUAACCGCAGGUCAGCUAUACUGCGGUGAAUACGUUCCCGGGUCUUGUACACACCGCCCGU
rnacentral:rRNA from 1 species